rnacentral:lncRNA from 1 species
AAGAGAGCAUGCCAAGACAUAUUUGCUGACAUGAAAUGAUUAUACUUUGGUACAGAGUGAAGAAGCUGGCAAGAGAAACCGUAAACUUGGCCCUGCCUGCUACCCACUUCUACAUACUAGUAACAAUUUAGUCAACCAUAAAGACAAAUACUAACUCCUCAAAAUAUACUAUUGAACCUACCGACUAAAUUAUGAAUUUUUUU